CAGCAGCCGCGGUAAUACGGAGGAUCCAAGCGUUAUCCGGAUUUAUUGGGUUUAAAGGGUGCGUAGGCGGACCCUUAAGUCAGUGGUGAAAGUUUGCAGCUCAACUGUAAAAUUGCCAUUGAAACUGAGGGUCUUGAGUGUAAAUGAGGUAGGCGGAAUGUGUUGUGUAGCGGUGAAAUGCUUAGAUAUAACACAGAACACCAAUUGCGAAGGCAGCUUACUGGGAUACAACUGACGCUGAGGCACGAAAGCGUGGGGAUCAAACAGGAUUAGAUACCCUGGUAGUCCACGCAGUAAACGAUGAAUACUAACUGUAUGCGAUAUACUGUAUGCGGUACAGCGAAAGCGUUAAGUAUUCCACCUGGGGAGUACGUUCGCAAGAAUGAAACUCAAAGGAAUUGACGG
rnacentral:rRNA from 1 species